UACAGAGGUGGCAAGCGUUGUUCGGAAUUACUGGGCGUAAAGGGCGCGUAGGCGGUCUUGUAAGUCCCGUGUGAAAGCCCCCGGCUCAACCGGGGAAUGGCACGGGAAACUGCGAGGCUUGAGUUCGGGAGAGGGAAGCGGAAUUCCGGGUGUAGCGGUGAAAUGCGUAGAUAUCCGGAGGAACACCAGUGGCGAAGGCGGCUUCCUGGACCGAUACUGACGCUGAGGCGCGAAAGCUAGGGGAGCAAACGGG
rnacentral:rRNA from 1 species